UGUUAAUAAUUAAUAGUAAAAGGUAAUGUGAAAAAUGAUAUGUAGGAAAGGUUAUUAAUAUAUAGAAUAAUGAUUCUUUUUGCAGAUGUUAUUGUUACUUUUCACGUUGGAACGUGAGUAAAACGCAUUCCUGUAUAAACCAGCAUCGAACGAGAAAAAUCUGUUCUCGUUUAAAUGCAAAAAUAGAACUUGAUGGAAAUAAUGGUAUAUUAUAUAUCUUCGCAGAUUUCUAAACUCCGCUAUUAUUAUUCUCUUUCGUAGUUUCAACGAAAGCGUUCAUCAAAUCGACUAUCGUUAUAUUUAUUUUUCGUUAUGUUAAACAAUAAAUAACACGAAUAUCUAAAA
rnacentral:lncRNA from 1 species